UACAGAGACUGCAAGCGUUAUUCGGAUUCACUGGGCGUAAAGGGUGCGCAGGCGGUCGGGUGUGUCAGAUGUGAAAUCCCGAGGCUCAACCUCGGAACUGCGUCUGAAACUACUCGACUAGAGUACUGGAGAGGGAAACGGAAUUCACGGUGUAGCAGUGAAAUGCGUAGAUAUCGUGAGGAACACCAGAGGCGAAGGCGGUUUCCCGGACAGUUACUGACGCUCAGGCACGAAAGCAUGGGGAGCAAAAGGG
rnacentral:rRNA from 1 species